AGGACGAACGCUGGCGGCGUGCUUAACACAUGCAAGUCGAACGGUGAAGCCUUUCGGGGUGGAUCAGUGGCGAACGGGUGAGUAACACGUGGGCAAUCUGCCCUGCGACUCUGGGACAAGCCCUGGAAACGGGGUCUAAUACCGAAUAUGACUGGCGGACUGGACAUCAGCCACGGUGGAAAGUUUUUCGGCUAGGGAUGGACUCGCGGCCUAUCAGCUAGGUUGGUGAGGUAACCGGCCCACCAAGGCGACGACGGGUA
rnacentral:rRNA from 1 species